AAUAUAAAAUGUUCAUAUUUACAUUUACACUACAUGUAAUGUUAUAUUUAUGUUUAAUUCCAAUACAACUCAUCCUACAAUGUUUCACUGAUCGAAUAAGUGCUGUACAGAUUAAUAAUAAAAAAUAAUAAUUGAAAACAGAUACAGAGUAAUCAAUACAUAUUCAUGGGAGAAGUGGAGGAGCUAGGUCAGUGAUUUAACAUCUGUCUAUGUGCUGUGUGAGGAGAGGAGGAGCUAGGUCAGUGAUUUAACAUCUGUCUAUGUGCUGUGUGAGGAGAGGAGGAGCUAGGUUAGUGAUUUAACAUCUGUCUAUGUGCUGUGUGAGGAGAGGAGGAGCUAGGUUAGUGAUUUAACAUCUGUCUAUGUGCUGUGUGAGGGGAGGAGGAGCUAGGUUAGUGAUUUAACAUCUGUCUAUGUGCUGUGUGAGGGGAGGAGGAGCUAGGUUAGUGAUUUAACAUCUGUCUAUGUGCUGUGUGAGGGGAGGAGGAGCUAGGUUAGUGAUUUAACAUCUGUCUAUGUGCUGUGUGAGGAGAGGAGGAGCUAGGUUAGUGAUUUAACAUCUGUCUAUGUGCUGUGUGAGGAGAGGAGGAGCUAGGUUAGUGAUUUAACAUCUGUCUAUGUGCUGUGUGAGGAGAGGAGGAGCUAGGUUAGUGAUUUAACAUCUGUCUAUGUGCUGUGUGAGGGGAGGAGGAGCUAGGUUAGUGAUUUAACAUCUGUCUAUGUGCUGUGUGAGGGGAGGAGGAGCUAGGUUAGUGAUUUAACAUCUGUCUAUGUGCUGUGUGAGGAGAGGAGGAGCUAGGUUAGUGAUUUAACAUCUGUCUAUGUGCUGUGUGAGGGGAGGAGGAGCUAGGUUAGUGAUUUAACAUCUGUCUAUGUGCUGUGUGAGCAGGAGCUAGGUUAGUGAUUUAACAUCUGUCUAUGUGCUGUGUGAGGGGAGGAGGAGCUAGGUUAGUGAUUUAACAUCUGUCUAUGUGCUGUGUGAGGAGAGGAGGAGCUAGGUUAGUGAUUUAACAUCUGUCUAUGUGCUGUGUGAGGGGAGGAGGAGCUAGGUUAGUGAUUUAACAUCUGUCUAUGUGCUGUGUGAGGAGAGGAGGAGCUAGGUUAGUGAUUUAACAUCUGUCUAUGUGCUGUGUGAGGGGAGGAGGAGCUAGGUUAGUGAUUUAACAUCUGUCUAUGUGCUGUGUGAGGGGAGGAGGAGCUAGGUUAGUGAUUUAACAUCUGUCUAUGUGCUGUGUGAGGAGGAGCU